ACUCCUACGGGAGGCAGCAGUGGGGAAUAUUGGACAAUGGGCGAAAGCCUGAUCCAGCAAUGCCGCGUGUGUGAAGAAGGUCUUCGGAUUGUAAAGCACUUUCGACGGGGACGAUGAUGACGGUACCCGUAGAAGAAGCCCCGGCUAACUUCGUGCCAGCAGCCGCGGUAAU
rnacentral:rRNA from 1 species